UUGGAGGGCAGUCUGGUGCAGCAGCCGCGGUAUUCCAGCUCCAUAGCGUAUAUUAAGUUGUUGCAGUUAAAAAGCUCGUAGUUGAACUUCGGGGUCUACCCAUUGGUCAGGCUUAAUUGUCUGUACUGGUGAGAUGGAUCUCUACCUUCUGAGGAACUUUCAUGCCAUUUAUUUGGUGUGAUUGGAAAUCAGGACUGUUACUUUGAAAAAAUUAGAGUGUUUAAAGCAGACUAUCGUCUGAAUACAUUAGCAUGGAAUAAUGAAAUAGGACGGACUGAUUCUAUUUCGUUGGUUUCUAGGAUCACCGUAAUGAUUAAUAGGGAUAGUUGGGGGCAUUAGUAUUCAAUUGUCAGAGGUGAAAUUCUUGGAUUUAUUGAAGACUAACUACUGCGAAAGCAUUUGCCAAGGAUGUUUUCAUUAAUCAAGAACGAAAGUUAGGGGAUCGAAGACGAUCAGAUACCGUCGUAGUCUUAACCAUAAACUAUGCCGACUAGGGAUCGGACGAAGUUAAUUUUAUAAUGACGCGUUCGGCGCCUUACGGGAAAC
rnacentral:rRNA from 1 species